rnacentral:rRNA from 1 species
AUGGGUGCCUCCACACCUCGUCACCAUUCCAGCUCCUGGCGCCAGAAGCUUCCACGCCUCACCAAGAAGAUCCUCACAUUGUCGCUCUACGCCCUCGUCCCCCUCGCCGUCCUCCACUACCUCCUCUCCCCUCCUCCCGUCGCCGUCCCCUCCUCCACUUCCACCUCGCCGCCCCACGAUGGGAAUAAGCAGCAGGGGGCUGCAGGGGCGGCCUCAAGAAAGCAGGGGUCAACGGCACCGGCGCCGCGGUGUGACUACUCGGAGGGGCAAUGGGUGCGGGACGCAGCGGGGCCGCGGUACAGCGGGACGAGCUGCGGCGCGACGAUCAAGGACGGGCAGAACUGCAUGGCGAACGGGCGACCGGACACGGGGUACCUGAACUGGCGGUGGCAGCCGCGCGGGUGCGCGCUCCCGCCGUUCGCGCCCGCGGAUUUCCUGGAGCAGGUCCGCGGCCGGCACGUCGCGUUCGUCGGCGACUCGCUCGCGCGGAACCAGUGCGAGUCGCUGGUGUGCCUCCUCGGCUCGGAGUUCCCCGCGGAGCUGGUCCUCGACGGCGGCGAGGAGCGCAAGUUCCGGCGGUGGGCGUUCAGGUCCCACAACGCGACGGUGUCGGUGUUCUGGUCGCCGUUCCUGGUGAACGGCACGGAGAAGUCGGCGGGGCCGGGCGGGCCCGACCACAACAAGCUGUACCUCGACCAGCCGGACGAGCGGUGGGCGGCGGAGCUCCCGGGCAUCGACGUGGUGGUGCUCUCCAUCGGGCACUGGUUCAUGCACCCGGCCAUGUACUACGAGCAGGGCGCGGUGAUCGGGUGCCACCACUGCCCGGAGCCGAACCGCACGGGCACGGGCUUCUUCGGCGUGUUCCGCCUCGCCGUCAAGAACGCGCUCCGCGAGGUCAUCGCCCGGGCCAGGGCCAGCCCCGGGCGGGAGAAGCUGGCGGUGGUGGCGACGUUCUCGCCGGCGCACUUCGACGGGGAGUGGGACAGCCCGGACGCGUGCGCGCGCACGGAGCCGUACGCGCCGGGGGAGAAGGAGAUGUUGUACAUGGACAGAGAGAUGUGGCGGACGGAGGCGGAGGAGGCCGCGACGGCGGCCGCGGAGGCCACGGUGCGCGGGUCGGCGGUGACGGUGGAAGCGCUCGAGGUGACGAAGCUGGCGGACAUGCGCGCCGACGGGCACCCGGGCGCGUACAUGAACGCGUCCCUGUUGGCCGGCGCCGGCGGUGAGAAGAAGAGGGAGCGGGUGCCGAACGACUGCGUGCACUGGUGCCUCCCGGGCCCCAUCGACACGUGGAACGAGAUCCUGCUGCAGAUGGUCAAGCGAUGGAGUGACGCCUCCUCCUCGUCGGCCAAAUGA